rnacentral:lncRNA from 1 species
GGCCAAGGUGGGUGCUCUGGAUUAGAGACCACCCUGGGCAAGCUUGGUAGAUCAAAACCCCAUCUCUACUAAAAAUACAAAAAACUUGAUGGGCACAGUGCCACACACCUGUGGUCCCAGCCACUUGAGAGGCUGAGGUGGGAGGAUCACUUGAGUCCGAGGUCGAGGCUGCAGUGAACUAUGAUCACACCACUGCACUUCAGCCUGAGAGACAGAGUGAGACCCUGUCUUUAAAAAAAAAAAAAAAAAAGAUACUGAGGUUUCAAUGUAGAGACAAUACUCAAAUUAUGAAUACUGAAAUUAUAAAUGCAU